GGCCGGGCAUGGUGGCUCACGCCAGCACUUUGGGAGGCCGAGGUCCCAAGAUAAAGAACGCCAUUCAGGAAUCGUGCAGGCAUAGCUGGACUGGAUGGACUUAUGUCAAAUGACUACAGUCAAGAUCCUGGUGCUUAGAGUGGGCAAAACCUGAUGUUCCCAGUGUGUGUCUACAGACAUCCAACUCUGACCCACUGUGGAGGCCACAGCCUGUAAUGGAUCAGAGGACUCCUUGCCUGUCUUCUGCCUGGUCAGCAUCCCCUCUCUGCCAGAGUCCCUCUUCCCCCAACUCCCGUCUUUGUGGUUUUCUUUCUUCUUUCCUUUUUUCUUUUCUUUUCCUUUCUUU
rnacentral:lncRNA from 1 species